rnacentral:rRNA from 1 species
CGAAAGCCUGACGGAGCAAUACCGCGUGAGGGAGGAAGGCUCUUGGGUCGUAAACCUCUUUUGUCAGGGAAGAACACAAUGACGGUACCUGACGAAUCAGCAUCGGCUAACUCCGUGCCAGCAGCCGCGGUAAUACGGAGGAGGCAAGCGUUAUCCGGAAUGAUUGGGCGUAAAGCGUUCGUAGGUGGCAAUUCAAGUCUGCUGUCAAAGACAGUAGCUCAACUACUGCAAGGCAGUGGAAACUGAAUAGCUAGAGUGCGGUAGGGGCAGAGGGAAUUCCCGGUGUAGCGGUGAAAUGCGUAGAGAUCGGGAAGAACACCGGUGGCGAAAGCGCUCUGCUGGGCCGCAACUGACACUGAGGGACGAAAGCUAGGGGAGCG